CCCGAGAAGCCGGGACUACAAGCACCUGCCACCACACCCGGUCCAAUCAGCAUAAUGUCAUCAAUGCAAUGGAACGGACUGAUUUUCUGCAGAAAGGGAAAUCAAUCAAGGUCCCAGUGGACUAAAUGAUGAUAUAAGGCUGAAGAAUGGACGCAUCCUGUAAGUAGAACAGUAAAGGUGUAUUUCUGGUUUUUCCAACUGAAAGAAAACUGCUUCUAAUGAUCUUUACUAACAUAUAUAGCAAAACAAAAAAGUCAUUUUUUUUUCAGGUGAAUAGCUGUAUACCAAAUACCUGAGGAUGUGUUAAUUUGCCCAAGCGAUGAAACCACCUCUGGAACAGCAGCUAUAAUUAGAAUCACCACCUGAUUAAGUUGACAAUAAUCCACUGUCAUUCUCCAAGAUCCAUCUGUUUUGUGCACAGGCCAAAUAGAUGAAUUGAAUGUGGAUGUGGUGGGAAGUCACUAUGCUCACAUGUUUUACGUCCUCCGGGAUUGCAGCAUUACUUUUAGUUUACUAUUUUCCUAGGUAGAGGCAGUUAUAGUGGCUUCCAAUUAUUUUUCUUUCCAUAAUAUCCCUUAUUUCACAAGUCGGGAAACCAAUGUAGAGAUUUUGUCACAUUCUGAAUGUGUCUAUUCCAAUAAUGCUUCUGGAACUGGAGAAAUAAUCACAGGACUUGUUCAGGGACAUGCUGAACCCACUGAGACAAAUAUGAACUAAUGAUCAAUUAAUCACCAAACCUUCAUAAGCCUCUAUUAUGCCUCCACAGUGACAUUUUGGGUGACCAGAAAUUAGUGUCAUUUUAGUCAGUGUUCAGUAAUCUUCCAAAAGUCUAAUUAUUUCUAUUUUCCAAAGCAAAAGCACACUGGUAAAUAACUAGAUCUCUUUAGGAAAGACCAGAAGAAAGAUUAACAGUAUAAACACAUUUUUUUUGGCAGUGCAAUGGAGUUCUUCCUCAAAGGGACUUAGCCUCCCUUUCAUUUAAGGGGUUCUGGGGUGGUAAAUUGUCUCAGCCUGGAAAUUAAUUGAGGUGUUAUGUCUCUCUGUUUUGGUGAUUUGAAUUAGACUUCUGCUCACUAGACCUGGAACUUUUCCACCUAUACACAUCAUUCAUUAGACUGCCCAUCUAUUUCUUUUCUAGUGACAUCAUUAUCAACUAGCUAAUGCCGUAGGUCUUUGGGAGUUACAGUAUUCUGGUAACUGCUUUGACUCUGCAGUUUAUUGUGGUGACUAUCUGGUUUUUGAUGAUCCCUGUCAAAUAGCAGCAGUUUCCACUGUAAUAUCUGACUUGCAGAAAAGAGUAAAGAGAGAGCUCUCAAGGAUGCUAGGAUUCCCCCUAUAAAUUUAUUUCUCAUAAUUGUGGUAAAAGGUAUGUCUUCUGGACUCUCCAAUUGGAUGAGCAGUUCUUACAUGAUAAAUCUAUUCAAACAUUUCAACCUCCCUAAGACUUUAGAUGCCUUCCUCCAUAGUAUACCAAGGCAAUCCUGACAUUUCAACUUCAUUUAUUGUAGGCCACCUUCAGUUUCAUGUUUCAACCUAUGGACAAAACAAACUGUUAGAGCCCUUCCUAGACCACUGACCUUAGUGAGCCAUAGUAAUACAUCAGACUAAUCCAACUUUAUAUUCCUUCCACCAUAAUGCCACACUCUUAAGACCCAUUCCCACACCUAUUUCCCCAGAUUUAUGUGUGUAUAAAUUGGAAAAAUCAUUCUGUUCUUCUUGCAGGUCAUUCAUUGUACCUUACCGUUUGGGCUCUGCUGAGACUUAAGUCUAAUUGUAGGUCUAGAUGCAGAGAGGGGUGGGUGGAGAUAGGUCCUAAGAAGAAUCAGCAGUACCUUGCAAGGCAAUUAUAGAUUCUUCAGGAAGAACAGAUAACCUCCUUAGACAGGGGUGGAUGGCUGCUUCUCCCAGCAAGAAAACUGUCCAAAUUCAAGGGUUCAGUGUCCCCAGCUUCAUUGGGAUCUGUCAAUAUGCCCUCAUUCCAAUUUUCAGGAUCCCAUUCCUUCCCAAUCAUUUUAACAGAAAACACCUCGUGGGGUUGGAAAUUCAAUUUGUGUUGUAAUUAAGCCACUCACAGGGAGAUUCAGGUUUAAUUUUUAGAAAUCUCAGACCUGUAGGUAGAAAAGAUAACGGUGACUUUUAGGGCAUAAAAAACAGACUAUUACAUUAUUUAGGUGGAACUUGAGCUGGAAUUUGAAGUCCUGCACUUCUUUUAUUUCUGGAACAGUGAGGAGUAACUGACCAGCUCCACGAUACUCUUAGGUUUGAUAAAAAUAUUCUAAGGUAGCAAAUACAUGGUGACCCACAACUUCAACUUCUACAGGUAUUUGAUCACAAGUGUCCAAUGGUUAUAUUUUCCAUAUCUCUUUUGUCAUAUUAUACCAUGGAUUUCUAAUGCUCUAUCACCGGAAAUAGUCAUUAGUGCCUUUAAAUAUAAUCACAUGAGGCAACUAAAUUCUCAAACCCCAGAAACAAUUCAGAAAACUCAUCCAUAUGAUUAUGUUCCUUUAGAACAAUGUCAAGAAGCAACAUCUGUAUCCAUCAUCAUUUAUCCAGGGAAACAGACCAGUAGGAGAGAUAUUGUAAGAUUUUUUUUCAAGAAAUUGGUUUAUAUGAUUGUGGGGACUGAUAAGGCUAGUCUAAAAUCCAUACGGCAGGCUGGAACUCUUGGUUAUGGGCUGCAGAUUCUGGCCACAAGUUGAAUUUCUCCUGCCUCAGAGAAGCUUCAGCUUUGCUUUUAAGGCUUUCCAACUGGUGAAAUGAGGCUCUGCUAAAUUAUCUAGGAUAAUGUCUCUUAAAGUCAACUGAGUAUUGACUUUAUUUAACUCUAUAAAUUACCGUCACAGUAACACCUAAAUUAGUAUUUAUUGAAUAACUUGUGACUGUAACUUACCCAUGUCAACAAUAAGUCCAUCACAAUGUCACAUAAAAAACUCCUACUUUAUUAGAAAAUGGGAUAUAAGUGGCCCAUGAGUUUGCAGCUUCUCCUCUGUUAUAUAAAUUUUCCUUUUUUAGUACUUAAAAAAAUCCUCCAAAUCUCCAUAUAUCAGUGUGUUUAAUUUAAGAGACUGCAACAUGAUCAAGUUAAAUAUCAAUAGUAAAAUUACUAUACCAACAUUUCAAUGAUAACAGUUAGACAUGAAAUUGUUAAAUAUAAUUUGAAAGGAUUUUAUAUGUUAUUUGGCCAUUUAAAUUUAUUAUUAUAUUUUACAAAGUCAUUGAAAAAUAUUAUAAUUGAAUAUAAUGUGAAGUAAAGAAGGGUGCAAAAUAGAUAGAAUAUGCUCAUAUUUGUGUGUAAGAUAGAUGCCUGAAGAAGGAACAUUUAGGACAUUAUAUCAAUAUCUUCUGUGUGUGAAGAGAGAGUUGCAAAUCACCUUAGGACUAAAUUUUGAAAUUUUUAUUUAAUCACUUAAGUGAUUUUCUUUGUUCAAGCCACUAUGAAACUCAUUACUCCAGACCAGGUUGAAACAGCAGCUUCUGUGGCCUGAAAAGAUGGCAAUACCACUUGGUGUAAGGAGCCGUCCCUGUGCGAAGAAGUUAGCGAUUUACACAGGGACUAGGAUUUAUCUUGGGAGGAAAAGAACACCAAACUUGAUCUUUCCUCUUAUACAAAUAUUUCUGUUGAAUUGAAGUGGGCUGGAUCAGGUUCUUUGGUAAGAAAUGAUAUCAAUGACUCCAAAGAGGCACUCACCUUCAGAGAAGAGGUCACUGGUGCGGGUGACUGGAGCUGAACACAAGAACAGAAGUGACCCUGGCAGUGGCUGGUCCCGCAACAGCCUGUAACAGGGAACAUAAUCAACCACAAAUUUUGUGGGUAGUUUAGGUGUUGAAAAACAAUAGUGAUCAUUAAUAUUGUAUAUACAUUACCUUUUACUAGAUGUCCUACGUAGUUUACACACGAAAAAGAGGAACUAAAGGCUGUGAAAUUCCAACUCAGAAUAUAAAUCAAAAACGAGAAAGCCUUGGUGGUAACUUUGAACCAAUCCCUUAUCUCCUAAAGUGGCAGAGCAGAUAAACUGAGGACCAAUAUCAAGACUGGACUGUCAAAAUUGCAGUUGCAGUGCAAACGAGAUACUCAAUUCAGUUAUGUCUCAAAGUAAGAAGAAACCACUGCUGGGGAAAUAAUAUAAUCCCAAGAAAUAGGAUGUAAAUAUUGUGGCAAAUGCAACAAGGUUGAACACUUUGAAUCUCCACAUCUUUCUAAAUUUCCCUUGUCUUCCAUUUCACAACUCUACAUCCAUACUCAGCACAGGAAAAAUAUCUAAUCUGUUCUUGUCAAGUUGAAUUAUUGGUUAGGGAUUUCUGUGUUAAUCUCAGAUGGAAAAUGUUUAAUUACAAGGUCUUUCCUGUAUCUAAGAGUUAUUACAUGACAGAACAAGUGGACCAACCUCUCUACCUCCAACAGCCUCUUUAUCGCUGAGAUUUUCUGUGUGCCCAUGGCAAGCAGAAUUCCAAGACAAUCCUUGAGAUUUCUACCCCAUUGUGUAUAAUGCACUGCUUUUGAGUACGGGUGAAGCCUGUAAAUAUGAUGCAUUAUCAACCUCAUCAUUAUGUUCUAUUAUAUGCAAUAGAGACUUUAGCAGAUAUAAUUAAAGUUCCACAUUCAGUUAAGUUAAUCAGAUCGGAAAUUAUCUAAUCAGAGUCUGUCCUACUCAGGUGAGGUAUCAAAUGGGGGUCUAGAGUUUUAAAAUGCAAAGAAUCAGAGAGACAUUCUCCCUAUGGCCUCAAACAAGAAAGCAAAUAGCCAUAUUUUGAAUUUCCGUGAAGGUGAAUCAUCAUUAGGGUCUGAGUGUCUCAGUCCUAAAACUACAAUGAACUAAAUUCUGUCAACAACUUAAAUAAGUUUGAAAAAAGACUUCACAUUCCAAAUGAGACUCCAGUCUGACUGACACCUUGAUUUCAGUCUUGUAAGACUUUGACCAGAGAACCCAGCUGAAACGUGGCUGGACUUCUGAACUACUGAACUCUGAGCUAAUAAAUGGAUGUAGCUUGUUUUGAACCAUGAAGUCUGGUGGCUUAUUAUGUAGCAGUGUAAAACUAACUCAGUGCCUCUGACAAUCUGCCCUUACUUUGUAGAAUAUGAUACAGGGCCACCAUUUGCUAAUCUGUUGUGAGUUGAUAUAGUUACUUUUCUUCAUUUUAACUGAAUAGGGCUCAUCUCCCUUCCUCUCUCUCUCUCUGUCUCUCUCUCUCUCUCCACCCCCCCACACACCCCACACAAUUUUACUUAUAAAUAUUAGAAUUUUGUUAUAUAUCAAAUAUAGUCUCCUUCACUUUAUAUAAGAAAAAAUGGGUAUCAGAAUAAUUACUGAGUUUAUUCCAAAUUACACAACUAGCCAGGGACCAAGGUAAAAUUUAAGUCAGUCUUAGUUACAAGGUUGGUUCUCUUUUAACUGACAGAAAUAAAAAUAUUCCAAAAAUAUUUCUAAACUUUAUCAAAAACUAAGGAAUUAAUGGAAUGUGUUUGUCAUAGAUAGUGUGCUGCCCAGAUCCCUUGUAGAAAUAAAGGGCUUGUUUUUUAAACUUCUAUAAGUACUUCCCUAAGGCAGGUCUCCGCUAUUAGCCUUCUACAGAAAAUGUCUUUGUUGGAGACACACCCCUUGCCCAAUAUUUUGCCCCCUUCCUUGGGCAGCCCAUACCCAAUGACUCAUCAAGGAAAGAUAUGAAGUCUGCCUUUCUCCCACAACUUGAGACAAUUCUAAAGGGUCAUGUCAAUUUUAGAACUUCCCUAAGAUCAACUGUAUCCUUCAUCAAGACUAUAAUUCUCCCUUUGUCCAAUUUUGCUUCCUCUUUUUCCAUGUGUUUAUGCCCAUAAUACUCCCUGAUAAACAUCCUGUAUGCUAAUCUCCAUUUCAGAGUCAGCUUCCUAGGGAAGCCAACCUGUGACAGGGAAGAGAUAACCACCUCUCUGUAAAACCGAUAAUGUGAGAUUAAAUGAAAUAAUACAUUUAAAUCAAAUUCACUUACAAAAAAUAUAAUGUAUAAAAGUAGGUGUUAUCUUAAUUUAUGUAUAAUAUUAUAUUCUUAUAAAUUAUAAUUCAAAGAAAUAAAUAUGAAAUUAACAUUUGUAUAAGGCAUAAAUUAUGGGAUGGAGUCAUUUCAUUGCUUGUGCUAGUGACUUUCAGAUAAAGCUCCAUCACCUUAUCAUGGCAAAGUUAUCUUAGGAGAGAAGACCUAAAUAUAAAAUCAGAGAUGAAAAUAGAGAUAUUACAACUGUUACCACAAAUAUUCAAAGGAUCAUUAGAGACUGUUAUGAGAAAUUGUAUGUCAAUAAAUUGGAAAACCUAGAGUAAAUUAAUAAGUUCCUAGUCCCAUACACCCUACCAAGAUUGAAGUUCAAAACCUGAAUAGACUAAUAACAAGUAAAUAGAAGUAGGAAUAAAAUGUCUUCCAUCAAAGAAAAACCCAGGACCUGAUGGCUUCACUGCUGAAUUCUACCAAACUUUUAAAUAUCUAAUACCAUUUCUAUUACAGCCAUUCCAAAAAAAUCAAUGAAAAGGGAAUUCUUCCAAACUAAUUCUAUGAGACCAGUAUUAUCCUGAUACUGAAACCAGCCAGAUACACAAGAAAAAUGAAAACUAUAGGUCAAUAUCUCAGAUGAACAUAAUUGUUAAAAUCCCCAACAAAAUAUUAGGAAGCUGAAGCCAGCAACACAUUAAAAAGGUCAUUCAUUAUGAUAAAAUGGGAUUUAUCAAAAUGACACAAGGAUGGAUCAACAUAUAGAAAUCAAAAACGUGAUACAUCACAUCAACAGAAUGAAAGACCAAAACCAUAUGAUCAUUUUAAUCAAUGUCAAUUAAGCAUUUGAUAAAAUUUCACAUCACUUUAUAAUAAAAACUCUAAAAAAAUGGGUAUAAAAGGAACAUACCUCAACAUGAUAAAAAAAAAACACAUUCACCAAACCCACAGCUAGUAUCAUACUGAACAGGGAAAAACUGAAAACCUUUUCUCUAAGAUCUUGACCAUGACAAUAAUGUCCAUUUUCACCACUGUUAUUCAGCAUACAGCUGGAAGUUUUAGGAGGAGCAGUUGAACAAGAGAAAGAAGUAAAGAUCAUUGGAUAGGAAAAGGACAAAUUAUCCUUAUUUUCAGAUGAUAUGAUCUUAUAUUUAGAAAAACCUAAAGAAUCCAACGAAAGGUGACUAGAACUGAUAAAUUCACUAAAGUUGCAGAAUAUAAAAUCAAUGUUAAAGAAAACUAGCAUUUCUAUAUGCCAGCAGUGAAACCAAGAAAUUAAUCUUAUUUACAAUAGUUACAAAUAAAAUAAAAUGCCUAGAAAUAAACUUGACUAAAGAAGUGAAAGAUCACUACAAAGAAAGCUAUAAAACAUUAAUUAAAGAAAUUGCCUAGGUUUUCUUCUAGGGUUUUUAUGGUUUUAGGUCUUACGUUUAAGUCUUUAAUCCAUCUUGAGUUAAUUUUUGUAUACGGGGUAAGGAAGGGGUCCAGUUUCAGUUUUCUGCAUAUGGCUAGCCAGUUUUCCCAACACUAUUUAUUAAACAGGGAAUCCUUUCCCCAUUGCUUGUUUUCGUCAGGUUUAUCAAAGCUCAGAUGGUUGUAGACGUGUGGCAUUUUUCUGAGGCUUUUGUUCUGUUCCAUUGGUCUAUAUAUCUGUUUUGGUAUCAGUAACCAGUUUUGGUUACUGUAGCCUUGUAGUAAAGUUUGAAGUCAGGUAGUAUGAUGCCUCCAGCUUUGUUCUUUUUGCAUAGGAUUGUCUUGGCUAUAUGGGCUCUUUUUUGGUUCCAUAUGAAAUUUAAAGUAGUUUUUUCUAAUUCUGUGAUGAAAGUCAAUGGUAGCUUGAUGGGGAUAGCACUGAAUCUAUAAAUUACUUUGUGCAGUAUGGCCAUUUUCACGAUAUUGAUUUUCCCCAUCUAUAAGCAUGGAAUAUUUUUCCAUUUGUUUGUGUCCUCUCUUAUGUCCUUGAGCAGUGAUUUGUAGUUUUCCUUGAAGAAGUCCUUCACAUCCCUUGCAAGUUGUAUUCCUAGGAAUUUUAUUCUCUUUGUAGGAAUUGUGAAUGGGAGUUCGCUCAUCAUUUGGCUCUCUGUUUGCCUAUUGUUGGUGUAUAGGAAUGCUUGUGAUUUUUGCACAUUGAUUUUGUAUCCUGAGACUUUGCUGAAGUUGGUUAUCAGCUUAAGGAGAUUUUGGGCUGAGAUGAUGGGGUUUUCUAAACACACAAUCAUGUCAUCUGCAAACAGAGACAAUUUGACUUCCUCUCUUCCUAUUUGAAUACCCUUUAUUUAUUUAUCUUGCCUGAUUGCCCUGGCCAGAACUUAGGCAAUAUCAUUCAGGACAUAGGCAUGGGCAAAGACUUCACGACUAAAACACCAAAAGCGAUGGCAAUAAAAGCCAAAAUUGACAAAUGGGAUCUAAUUAAACUAAAGGGAUUCUGCACAGCAAAAGAAACUAUCAUCAGAGUGAACAGCCAACCUACACAAUGGGAGAAUUUUUGCAAUCUAUACGUAUGACAAAGGGCUAAUCACCAGAAUGUACAAGGAACUUAAACAAAUUUACAAGAAAAAAACAAACAACCUCAUCAAAAAGUGGAUGAAGGAUAUGAACAGACACUUCUCAAAAGAAGAAAUUUAUGCAGCCAACAAACAUGUGAAAAAAAGCUCAUCAUCACUGGUCAUUAGAGAAAUGCAAAUCAAACCCACAAGGAGAUACUAUCUCAUGCCAGGUAGAAUGGCAAUCAUUAAAAAGUAAGGAAACAACAGACGCUGGAAAGGAUGUGGAGAAAUAGGAAUGCUUUUACACCAUUGGUGGAAGUGUAAAUUAGUUCAACCAUUGUGGAAGACAGUGUGGUGAUUCCUCAAGGAUCUAGAGCCAGAAAUACCAUUUGGCCCAGCAAUCCCAUUACUGGGUAUAUACCCAAAGGAUUAUAAAUCAUUCUACUAUAAAGACACAUGCACGUGUAUGUUUAUUGCAGCACUAGUCACAAUAGCAAAGACUUGGAACCAACCCACAUGCCCAUCAAUGUUAAACUGGAUAAAGAAAAUGUGGCACAUAUACACCAUAUAAUACAACGGAGCCAUAAAAAAAGGAUGAGUUCAUGUCCUUUGCAAGGACAUGGAUGAUCUGGAAACCAUCAUUCUCAGCAAACUAACACAGGAACAGAAAACCAAACACUGCAUAUUCUCACUCAUAAGUGAGAGUUAAACAAUGAGAACACAUGAACCCAGGGAAAGGAACAUCAUUAACCAGAGCCUGUCACAGGGUAGGGGGCUAGGGGAGGGAUAGCAUUAGGAGAAAUGCCUAAUGUAGAUGACGGGUUGAUGGGUGCAGCCAACCACCAUGGCACAUGUAUACUUAUGUAACAAACCUGCAUGUUCUGCACAUGUAUCCCAAAACUUAAAGUAUAAUAAUAAUAAUAAAAGAAAUUGAAGAGGACACAAAAACUUGAAAGAUAUUCCAUAUUCAUGAUUUGAAGAAUCAGCAUUACUAAAAUAUCCAUAAUACUCAAAGCAAUCUAUAGAUUCAAAUGAAAUUCCUAUCAAAAUACCAAUUAUAUUUUUCACAGAUAUAAAAAAUAAUUCUAAAAUUUGUAUAGAAACACAAAAUACUCAGAAUAGCCAAAGCUAUCCCAAGCAAAAUGAACAAAGCUGGAGGUAUCACAUUGCCUGACUUCAAAUUAUAUUACAAAGCUAUAGUAACCAAAACAGCUUGGCACUGGCAUAAAAAACAGACACAUAGACCAAUGGAACAGAAUAGAGAACCCAGAAAUAUAUUCACACAUUUACAAACAAUUAAAUUUACUAAUAACAUAUAUUUGGAAAUGUCAGUCUCUUCAAUCCAGGAAAAUAGGGUAUUCAUACACAGAAGAAUAAAACUAGACCCCAUCUCUCCCCAUAUACAAAAAUCAAAUCAAAAUGGUUUAAAGAUUUAAAUCUUAAAUCUAAGACCUGAAACUAUAAAACUACGAGAAGAAAACAUUGAGGAAACACUCCAAGAAACUGGUCUGGGCAAAUAUUUCUUUAGUUAAGACCUCAAAAGCACAGACAACCAAGCAAAGAUGAACAAAUGUGGUCACAACAAGUUAAAAAGCAUCUGCAUAGCCAAUAAAGCAAUCAACAAAGUGAAGAGACAACCCACAGAAUGGGAGAAAAUAUUUGCAAACUAUCCAUCUGACAAGAGAUUAAUAACCUGAAUGUAUAAGGAGCUCAAACAACUCAAUUGGAAAAAUAAAUAAAUAAUCCAAUUUAAAAAUGAGAAAAAAAACUGUAUAGUCAUUUCUAAGAGAAGACAUGCAGAUGGACAACAGGUAUAUGAAAAAACACUCAACAUCAUUAAUCAUCAGGAAAUGAAAAUGAAAGCUACAAUAAGAUAUCAUCUCAUCCCAGUUAAAAUGGCUUUGUAUUAAAAAGACAGGCAAUAAUGGAUACUGGCAAGGAUAUGGGAAAAAGGGGAGUCCUCAUAUACUGUUGGUGAAAAUGUAAAUUAGUGUAGCCACUAUGAGGAACAAUGGCAGUUCCUCAAAAAAAUGAAAAAUAGUACUAUUAUAUGAUCCAGUAAUACCACUGCUUGGUAUACAUCUAAUAGAAAGAACAUCACCAUGUGAAAAGACAUCUGCUUUCCCAUGUUUAUUGCAGCAUUAUUCACAGUAGCUAAGGUAUGGAAACAACUUAGGUAUCCAUGAAUGGAUGAACAGAUAAAGAAAAUGUGGUAUAUACACAAGGGAAUAUUAUUCAGUCAUAAAAGAAUGAAAUUCUGUCAUUUGCAGCAACAUGGAUGAAACUGGAAGACAUUAUAUUAAGUGAAAUGAGCCAGACUCAGAAAGACAAGUAUCACAUGUUCUCAUUCAUCUGUGGGAGGUAAAAAAGAGAAAAAUUGAUCUCAUGGAGGUAGAGAGUAGAAUGGUGGUUACCAGAGGUUGAGAAGUGUAGUGGGGUGGGGGAGAUUAAGAGGGAUGGUUAGUGGGUACAAAACUAUACUUAGAUAGAAUAAAUAAUAUCUAGUGUUUAGUGGCACAAUAAGGAGGCUAUAGUUAACAAUAAUUUAUUGUGUAUUUCAAAAUAACUUAAGUGGAAUUGUAAUGUUCCUAAUACACAGAAAUGGUAAAUGUUUGAGGUAAUAGAAAUCCCAAUUACCCUGAUUUGAUCAUUACACACAUUGUAUGCUUUUAUCAAAACAUCACAUGUACACUAUAAAUAUGUACAACUAUUAUGUAUCCAUAAUACUUACAAAUUUAAAAAUAUUUAAAAAUUCACAAAACUGAAAUAAACAUACUUAUUGGGAAAACAUCUUCAAUAACUCAUUCAAAAAUUCAUAUUGAGAGGCUAUUACAUGGCAAGAAUUAUGCUAAUCUACUAUUCUCAUAAAAAAUAUAAUGUUCCAGUAUGAGAAACAGAUAGGGCAACCAUAAUCCUGCUAUAAGCCUGGCUUACAUGUGUGGUCUCAGUAUCCCAUAUGGCGUAGGAUUUUUUUCUUGAGUUUUCAUAUUUUAAAGAAAUAUUUUUACUAAUGUUUCUUUUGACUGGAAUGGUUUUGAUAGAAUUUCACUUUUUACUUUCAGCACCAUCUUAAUUAGUAAUGUGUGAGAUGCAUGCAAUGAACAGAGUUUUCAGAUUAACAUGUGGUUGAAUCUCAGAAAUAAUCAGCAGUAAAUUGCUUCCCUUUCUCCCAUCCUUUUCUGAUGCAUUGAAAAGAAUAGUGUUCAUCAUACUCUCUAAUAAACCAACUUAAUAUGGCAUACCCACACAGUGGAAUAUUAUUUAACAAUAUAAACAAAGUACUGUUACAUGGUGUGAAAUGUAUGAACCUUGAAAAUAUUAUGCAAAAUAAAAUAAGCCAGUCACAAAAGGUGACAUAUUAUGUAAUUAGAUUUAUAUGAAAUGUCCAUAAUAGGAAACUAUAAGUAGAAAUAGAUCAGGGAUUUCCUAGAGCUGGGAUGGGGGAAGGGAUGGAGAAUGACUUGUAAUGAAUAUGGGUUUUUUGGGAUGAUAACAACAUUAUAAAAUUACAAUAGUGAUGUGAUGGUUGCAUAACUCUGAGUAUGCUACAAACCAUUGAAUUAUACAUUUUAAAUGGGAUACUUUUAUGAUAUGCAAAUUAUAUCUCAAUAAUGCUGUUAUAAAAACUAAUUCUUUAAUAUGAGUGACCUGGAGAUAACCAACUUCUUGUGGAUCCUGGUGGUGGUGGGAGAAAUAUUGGAAGCUAUUGCUUCUAGGUCAUUUGGUGAACCAACUAAUUUGUACCAUGGUUGUGUAUGAGAUGUGUGAGAAAUAGAGACUGAAUAGUCUUACCAUGGAAUAUAUAGAAAGUAGUUCAUUAUUUACUAUAUUUAAUUCAACCACUAUCCUUUCCAAAACGAUGUCUUUUUCCUUGAAAAAUGCAUAUUUAAUGAAAAUUUAAAGAUACUUCGAUUUCUCAAGAAAGUUGAUGAAUGUGUAAAUUACACAAAGUAUUUGUUGACAUUUACUAUAACAAUUGAGUCUGUAGUGAUAUCAUUGAACCUGUGGAAACAAGGUGAUGUAUAUCAUCCCCCAAAUCACUAGCACCUACAGUUAUUUAGAAAGAUUAUGCACAAGAUGAUAAUUUAACAUGUGCAACUUCAGAUGGUGUAUUUACAUAUUUCUUUCUUUUCUUUUUUUUUUUUGAGAUGAAGUCUCGCUCUGUCACCCAGGCUGUAGUGUAGUGGGGUGACCUUGGCUUACUGCAACCUCCACCUCCUAGGUUCCAGCGAUUCUCCCACCUCAGCCUCCUGAGUACCUGAGAUUAUAGGCACCUGCCACCAUGCCCAGCUAAUUUUUGUAUUUUUAGUAGAGACUGUGUUUCACCAUAUUGGCCAGGCUGGUCUUGAACUCCUGACCUCAAGCGAUCUGCCCACCUUGGCCUCCCAAAGUGCUGGGAUUACAGGCAUGAGCCACAGUGCCUGGCCUACGUAUUUCUUUUUAAAGACUGACUUUUCAUUUAGAUUAAAUGAUUGCUCUUCUAAAGUAAUUUACUCUUUGUUGGUUUUAAGAAAUCUUUUGCAUGUAUAAGGUAUAAAACAACAACUGUUUAUAUGUUACUUCCAUUAGCCGAUGAACUAGCGGUUAAAUGAUGCUUCAAAUAGAAAAUAAGUUAAUUCCACUAAUAGAUUGUGUUUUCAUUAAAGUCAUAAACAUGAAAUAACACUUUACAAAGUUCAUUUUGUUGAGUAUCUUGCAUUACUGUGAAUUAUAUUGUAAAGUAGUUUAAAGUUUAACAUUAAAGAUAAAAUUAUUAUUUUUGCUGUUAUGGUAUGAAUAAAAAAAUUUGAUUAACUUUUUUAUCAUGUUUCAGUAAACAAAGCAUGCAGAAUGGAAACAAUAAUCUUACUAAGUUAAAAAACUUUUUUGAACUUUUCUGAAUAGAAAUGUUCUUGGAAUUCGUCGUGCACAUGAUUGUUCAUAAUUACUAAUUACAAAUAUUACUAAUUAUUAUUUCUAUUAUAUAUAAUAUGUAUAAUAUUAUUAAUUAUUCAUAAUUACUAAUUGAAAUAGAGACGCUAGUUGUUGGGGUAACAAAAGUAGUGCAUUUUUGAGAUGAAGCUGGCUUUCAGUACAAACAUAUUCUAAAUUAUGCUGGUGGCUAUGCAGUUUUUCUCUGUGCUGGUCAUCAACAAUUAGAUUUAGAUGUGUUUGAGCACUUGAAGAAGUACUAUGAAACUGAACUUAAAUAAAAGUAUUUAGCAAUUGUGAUGCCAAAAAGCUUUAGCUUGUGAAGCUUUAUCAAUUUCCAAUUCUUAAAAGCAAAGGUUGUAAAGAGGAGGACAUUGAAACUGAUCCUUGUAGAAAUGGAGCCAAUUAAAUAAUAAAGGCACAAACUAUGUAAAACAUUUAAUUUUUAAAUUAUAUUAUUGGACUCCAGAAUAUUUAAACUUGUGAGAUGUAGUCUGAUAAAUCUCCUAUUUUUAAUUGGAUAAACUUGCAAUAUAUACCAAAAAGGAUAAAAUUUACAAAAAAAAAAUUUGCAUGAUCUCCAUAGUCAUAAAUUGAGACAUCUGCAAUGACUUUUGUCUGAUAAAAAAAUCUACCAAAGACAAGUACUCUGAAUGGAAGCAAAAACAAGAGCUCUUUUAAGAUAUUUGAACUAAAUUGGACCCUUAUCUUGCACUAUGGAUAAAAAUCAUCUAAAAAUGGACAAAAUACCUAAGUGUAAGACCUGAAGCCAUAGAACUCAUGGAACAUAGGGGAAAAACUCCACAACAUUGGUCUUGGCAAUAAUUUUUUUGGGAUGCCAUACCAAAAGCUCAGGCUACAAAAGAAAAAAUAAAUCACAUCACACACUGGGCCCUGUCAUGGGGUUGGGGGAGGGGUAGGGAUAGCAUUAGGAGAUAUACCUAAUGUAAAUGACGAGUUAAUGGGUGCAGCACACCAACAUGGCACAUGUAUACAUAUGUAACAAACCUGCACAUUGUGCACAUGUACCCUAGAACUUAAAGUAUAAUAAAAAAAAGAAAAAAUAAACCAAUGGGAAUACAUCACACUAAAAACCUUCUACACAGCAAAGAAAACAAUUUAAAAAUGAAAAUGCAGGCUACAGACUGGAAGAAAAUUUUUGCAAAUCAUACAUCUGAUAAUGGCUAAUAUCCAAAAUUUAUUUUAAAAACCCACAUAAUUCAAUAGCAGAAAAACAACCCAAUUAAAACAUGGACAAAUGAUAUGAGCAGACCUUCAAAGAAAACAUAAAAAUGGACACUAGGUAUAUGAAAAGGAGCUCAACAUCACUAAUCAUAAUGGAAAUGCAAAUUAAAACCACUAUGAGAUAUCACCUUACACCAGUAAGGAAGGCUAUUAUCAAAUGGAUAAGAUGAAAAUGUUGGCAAAGGUGUGAAGAAAAGGUAACCGCAGUGCACUGUUGAUGGGAAUAUAGACUGAUCUAGCCAUUAUGGGAAGAAAUAUGUAGGGUCUUAGAGAUACUAAAAAUAUAACUGCCAUAUGACUCAGAAAUCCUUCUUCUGAAUAUAUACCAAUAUACCAAAAGGAGAUUAUCACCACCUUGUAAAGAUUGGCAUUCCCAUGUUCAUUGCAGCAUUAUUUGCAGCAGUCAAGAUAUGGAAAGAACCUAAAUGCCCAUUGAUGGAGGUAUAAAGAAAAUGUGGUAUAUAUACACAAUGAAAUAUUACACAGCCUUAAAAAGGAGAUCCUACCAUUUGUCAAAACAUGCAUGAACCAGGAGGACCCUAUGCUAAGUGAAAUAAGCAACACAGAGAAAAAAAUAUUGCAUGAUUUCAAUUAUAUAUUAAAUAUAAAAUAAUAAAAGAGCUCAAAUACACAGAGAUAAAGAAGGAAACAGUGGUUACCAUUGGUGGGAGAGGGAGAGAGGAAAUGAGGAAGAUGUAGGUCAAAAGAUGUACAAUAGCAGAUAGGUAGGAUGAACAAAUCUAAAGAUCUAAUGUACAACAUGAAGACUAAAUAAAAUUGAAUUGUGUUAAGGAUAUUUGUUAAGUAGAUUUUAUCUGCUGUUGUCACAUCAAAAAACAAGUUAUGUGAGAUGAUAGAUAUACUAAUCUGCUUCACUCUAGAACCAUUAUAUUUCCUACGAUGUAUCUAUAUGUACUCCAUAACAUUAUGUUGUAAACCUCAAAUAUAUACAAUAAAAUACAUUUAAAAAAAAAAAUAGGCCAGGCGCGGUGGCUCAUGCCUGUAAUCCCAGCACUUUGGGAGGCCGAGGCGGGCGGAUCACGAGGCCAGGAGAUCGAGACCACGGUUAAACCCUGUCUCAACUCAAAAAAAAAAAAAUACAAAAAAUUAGCCGGGCGCAUUGGCGGCGCCUGUAGUCCCAGCUACUCGGGAGGCUGAGACAGGAGAAUGGCGUGAACCCAGGAGGCGACACUUUCAGUGAGCUGAGAUCGCACCACUGCACUCCAGCCUGGGUGACAGAGCGAGACACUGCCUCAAAAAAAAAAAAAAAAAAAAAAAAAAAAAAAACAACAACAACAGUGGGACUAAAAUAUGUAUACAUUUUAAUAUUAAAAGAAAAAGCUGUGAUACAUAAUGAUUAUACAUAUGUAUGGGGAACAUUGUUCGUUUCAAUACAUGGAGAGAUUGUGUAAUCAUCAAAUCAGAGUCAUUAGAAUUUCAUCACCUCAAAUAUUUAUCAGUUUUUUGUGGUGAGGACAUGCAAAUUAUUUUCCUCUAGCUUUUUUUGAAAUAUACAAUAUAUUUCCAUUAUCUGAGAAUAUGCUGUAUUUAGCAAAAAAUAAUUUGCGAUUACUAGGUACUUCAGUGCAUGUAGAGAGGGUAUUUUCUCAGUUAAAAGUAAUGUAUUCUAUGGAGACCAGUCAAUUGAAGGUUUCAACAAUUUCAAAUUUAUUAGCAUAAAGCACAGCUUUGAAAACAAAUGCAGGCAAUUUUAUGAAAAAAUGGAAAACAAUAAAACUGUAUUUCAAAAAUACAUUGUCCACAAAUAGAAUAAUAAUGACCAAUAUUACUUGUACAACUAAGAUGGUGUUUAAAUUAAAUGAAUAUAUAACAUAAAUAAUCAUACUACUUGUUAUUUAAUGUGCUGAUAAUCAAUACAAAUAUUCUUUUGCUUUUAUGAAUAGAAAUAGAUAUUGCUUUCUUAAAGAAACAUUUUAUUUCAAAAAUAUUUUAUAACACUUCCAUAGGCCCAAACCCCACUUGUUAGUAAAUACUUAUUUUAAACUUGUAUAAGAUUAUAGUUAUUUUAAUACUCUUUUUAAUCUCAAAAUAGACUUGUUUGGCCAAUAAAGUAUAUGAACCCCUUUAUUACAGAAAAAUAAGCAGACAGUCAUACUACAGCAUGAUUUUAGAGUAGGGAAAAUACAGGAUUCUUUUGCAAAAGAAUAAAAAGCUGUCUAAUCUACUCCCUGGUGGAGAGGGUGUCAUGGAAUAUUUAUUAGAGGAAGUUGAUGACAUUUAUACCUAAAAGAUAGGAUAAGUUAUCCAACUGAGGAAACAGAGAAGACUGUUUCAGGGAGGGUGAACAGCAAAAAAAACUAGCUCAGGGGUAAAGUUAGGCCCUCCCCAUGAAAUAAGCAGGGUCUUUGGAGUUGCAUAAAAUAAUUUGGAAUUAAACCAAAGAUAAGGGGGAAAUCAAUACAGUGCUUAAAUAAAGUAGUGUCCUGAGAAGGAUUUUCUGAAGGGCAUUUAGAAGAUUGAUUCUAAAACACACAUAAGUUUCUUAAUUCUUUUAUUCUGACCUGAUGGAUUUUCUAGUCCAGCCAGUUGUACCCCUGACCUUGUGCUCUCUUUUUCUGGUAUGGCUUUCCUAGGCUCAAAAAUCCCAAAGUGCUACCCUCUAAAAUUAUGGAUAAAAGGCUCUAUUAAUAUUUAUGUCUCCUUGUGGCAGGCCACAGAUAUGAAUUAAUUACUGCAUCUGCACAGAUGUGGCCUGAUUACGCAAGGCGGAACUAAGCUAAACAGCCAGCAUGAUAAACCCAAGACUGGCAAGGUAGCAGGAGAAUUUUGAGAUAUAUUCAAGUUGAAUGCUUUUAUCGGUUCUAAGUUGUUAGUUCUUGGAGGAGAGUAUUGUUCCCUAACAAAGCCUAACACAGUGUGCAGUACACAACAAGUACUCACUAAAUAUUUGUGAGAUGAAUAAAACCAAGAAUCUUGAAUAUGUUUUAGGCCUAUCACUAUAAAAAAAUUUUAAUGUCUUAUUGUAAUUGUUCUAUUUUGUUUUGACAGGUGAUGAAAAUAAUGCUUCCCUUAGUUGAAAUUCUUAGGAAAAUGGCUCCAUAAAUAUGUAUGUAGGAUGCUAUUACUCACUCAUUAUUGACAGUUGUAUCAAGUGUGAUAUAAAACACAAUUUUCAGUGACAAUGGAAUAAUUACAGUCUUGUAGUCUUGGAAUAGCCCCUGAUCACUACUGUUGCUGAUUCUGUCAUUAUAUUUUGUGUCACCUGGUUCCCAGUGGACUGUCAACACUCUUUACAUCCUGGAAUCUGAAAUCAAUUUUGUUGAGUUAACAAAGCUACAUCAUUACAUGUAUCAACUGGGGGAUCUCAGAUAAAUUCAUAUGGGUCUGAUUAUCCUUAAAUAAACCAUAUAAACAGUAGAUUGUUAUAACUGACAAGGGAUCGUGUUCUGUCUAGUCAGAGAACUUAAGUUAGGGAGGCAUGCUGUACAAAGUAUAAAAAUGUUUCAAAGGAUAGAAUUGUUAAAUUUCUGUUGUUUUAAGCCACCCAUUGUGUAGUACUCUGUUAUAGUAGCCCAAGAAAACCAAUACACUGUAUAAUGGAACAUUAUUUAGCCAUAAAAAAUGAAUUAAGGGCUGAUACAUGCUACAAUGCAGACAGACUUUAAGAAAACAUAAUGUUAAGUACAAGAAACCAGACACACAAGACUAUUUAUUAUGUGGUUCCACUUAUAUGAGACGUCUAAAACAGAAAAAUCUAUAGAGAUAAGCAAAUUAGCACAUGUCAAGGGCUGGGGUGAAAUGUAGAGUGACUACUAAUGAGUACACAAUUUUUUUUGAGAUGAUGAAAAUGUUCUAAAAUUGUCGUGAUAGUUGCAUAACUCUGUCAUUAUACCAAAAAAAUCAUUGAAUUGUAUAAUUUAAAAAGUAUGUGAAUUAUAUCUCAAUAAAAUAUUUUAAAAACAGAA